rnacentral:rRNA from 1 species
GAUGAACGCUAGCUACAGGCUUAACACAUGCACGUCGAAGGACCGGCACACGGGUGAGUAACACGUAUCCAACCUGCCCUUAACUCGGGGAUAGCCUGACGAAAGAAAGAUUAAUACCCGAUAUAAAGAGUGGGGAUGCGUUCCAUUAGGUUGUUGGUGAGGUAACGGCUCACGAAGCCUUCGAUGGAUAGGGGUUGUGAGAGGAAGGUCCCCCACAGUGGAACUGAGACACGGUCCAAACUCCUACGGGAGGCAGCAGUGAGGAAUAUUUGUCAAUGGGCGCUAGCCUGAACCAGCCAAGUAGCGUGAAGGAUGAAGGCUUAUGGGUCGUAAACUUCUUUUAUAUAAGUAUAUGUAUUAUAUGAAUAAGGAUCGGCUAACUCCGUGCCAGCAGCCGCGGUAAUUC